GUUCCCAAUGAUACUACUAUUCUUUACCAUGCUAAUGCUGAAUAACAUUUGAUUAUUCCUUUUAUUAUACUGAAGAAACU